GUGGGGAAUCUUGGGCAAUGGGGGAAACCCUGACCCAGCGACGCCGCGUGAGGGAAGAAGGUCUUCGGAUUGUAAACCUUUGUGACAGGGGACGAAGGAAGUGACGGUACCCUGUGAGGAAGCCCCGGCUAACUACGUGCCAGCAGCCGCGGUAAUACGUAGGGGGCGAGCGUUGUCCGGAAUUACUGGGCGUAAAGGGCGCGUAGGCGGUUGAAUAAGUCUGUUGUGAAAUUCCAAGGCUUAACUUUGGCAGUGCAAUGGAAACUGUUCGACUUGAGUACGGCAGAGGCAAGUGGAAUUCCCAGUGUAGCGGUGAAAUGCACAGAGAUUGGGAGGAACACCAGUGGCGAAGGCGACUUGCUGGGCCGAAACUGACGCUGAGGCGCGAAAGCGUGGGGAGCAAACAGGAUUAGAAACCCUAGUAGUCC
rnacentral:rRNA from 1 species